CUCAGCACGUCGGCCACGUAGGCGCGGAGGUGGCCAGUAUCGUCAUCUGUGUCUGAGGAAGAGAGUCCUCAUGCAGAGGCGCCUGAUAUUCCAGGUCUGUAUCCUUCAGCUCCUGGAAGGCCGUGAGGAUCUGGAACCAAGGAGAACAAGGUGGAAGAGGGUCUGUGAAGGCAAAGAGACACUGGGAAGACCCCGCAGGAAGGGAUGGCUCCACAUCCAGAGGCCCCUGGGCUGGCGGAGCUGUGGCCAGUGGAGGCUGGGGGGGUCUCCCCAGAGGACACAAGUCGGCAGGGCUGGAAAAUGGAUGUGACAGUCGGGAGAGAGGAGGCUGCCUCUGGACUCACCCCAGGGGGAGGAGACAGGACUGCGGGAACCAGGGCUCCGGAGGGAGGGACGGAGCCGGGCCCAGAAUCCCUGGCAGAGGCUGGGAUGCAGGCAAGCCGGGGU